rnacentral:lncRNA from 1 species
GGGGGGGCGCAAGGUGGGGGGGGCGUGGGCUGGGCAGCUGCAGCGAGGCCUCCCGAGGGUCCCCUGCCUGCCUCCCCUGCUGCUCCCCAUCCUCCUCCGCCUCUUUAAUCUCCCCAUCCCAGUCUCCCUCCUCUCCAUCCUCCCCGUCUGCCCCCCAUCCCCUCCUCCUCGCCAUCCUCCUCUUCAGCCUCCUCCUCUUGCGUCCCCUCCUCCUCCCCAGUCGCCUCCUGGUCCCCGGCAGCCGGGCCGGCCGGCCGGCGCCGGGCGCGCAGCCUUUGUGUCCGGGCCGUGGCGCGGGCCCAGCGCAGGCAGGCCACGCGGGGACGGAGAGCCUGAGGACGGGCAGUGCCGGAGACUCGCGAGCGGAGCCGGCCGAGCGUCGCGCACCAUCUCCAUCCAUCCCACCGCCUCGCCGCCGCGCGGCUGCCUCCCACCCCGCCCCUGCCCAUCCCUCUCCAUCCUACCCUGCGCGACAGCCGCGCCCGCCGGGGGACGCGGGGCUGCGGGCUCCCUCGCCCGGGGCUCGCGGCGCAUUUGGUGCGGGCUGCGCUGAGCUUCCCAUCCGGCCUGGGAGGAAGGGAGAGGGGCUCAGGCUCAACCCGGCCACGAAAAUGACCAGGAAGUGGUGUCCGCAUCAAAUUAGAUCAUUAGGAGUUUUCAAACUUCUCUCCUUUGUCGUUUGAGUGUCAAAAUACCAGCAGCAAAUAAAAAUAUAAGGGAAGAGAAGCUUUGACUACACUAUCCCCAAAUUGAAGCAAAGCAGGUGUUUCUGUAGGAAAAUCACCUCCGAGAAGCCCCUGUGCAGCGUGGACAGCGGCCACCCAACCUGAGGACGUUUCAUUACUGUCUCCAGCCUGGCGUUUACCCUCCGGGGACCCAGGCCGGCUGGAGACACCCACGUCAGACCCUCAGGACCGCUAGGAAGCCCAACGGAGGAGGCUGGACGCCUUCUGCCUUCUUCUGGAAAGUAAAACUUACAGAAAACAAGCCCCUGGACCCCCACUGCCCUCCUCCCUCUGGGUUAGAAAAUGAAGCUUGAACCGCUAUGCUCUGUGUCUAGUGUAAGGAAGACAACUAGACUAUACUAAUUUUUUUAGCACUCUUGGAGUCUUCCCUCCCCAAAAGUCACUAGAGUGGGGCUUGGUGGGGCACUCCUGUAAUCUCAGCACUCUGGAUGGCUGAGGCAGAAGGAUCCAAAGUUGGAGGCCAGCCUGGGCCACUUAGCAACACCUGUCUAAACGAAAAAGGAGGGGGACUGGGGAUGCAGCUCAAUCAGAAGGCCCUGGGGUCAAGUCCCAGUGCUGAACAAAACAGAACAAAGACAAAGACAGGGCUGUAGGGUGACCCGGUGUGGUAUGGUUCCCUCAGUGUCCUAUUGCCCAGUGCCACAGAAAGGGAAGUAGAAAUAUUAAAAAGUGCAGGCCCAUGGUCAUUAACUCAAACUCCCUACUUUGUGAAAUGAGACCUUUAAAUGGUAUAUGUAAUUUUGUAGAGAAUGACUGAAAUAAUUUCUUUCCCUACAAAUAUUUCAGGGCUUCAAAUUUAAGUAAGGGAUAUUCCAUCCAAAGCAAUCCCAUUUUCAGAGGAGAACAGGCAUGCAUGGGGUGGUAUGGACGUAGAGAACAAUCACAUUUUCAGAAUAACAACUUAAAGAAUUACUGCACUACAUCUUUAAUUCUGGAUCUUUGAAAAAUAAUUUGUGUCUUAAGGGAGUUUUAGGCCUUUGGUUGUGUUAGUCCAUUAUAGCCUCUAUAACAAAAUACCUAAGGAAAGAUAUUUAUAAACAACACAUGGGUAUUUAUUUAUUUAUUUUUGAGUGCUACAAAUUGAACUCAGGGCCUCUCCAAUGCUACAUGACUGAGCUAUUUCACCACUCUCUGCUCUUUUAAAAAAAUUGUCAUUUAGAGAUAGGGUUUUGCUAAGUUUCCCAGGCUCAUGAUCAUCAUGCUCAGGCUCCUUGAUGGCUGGGAUUAGAGGCUCACACCACUGCACCUGGCUCUGGGCCUCCUUCUUGAGGGACUAAUCUGUUCCUGCAAGUGAGCAUCGUCAGCUGAUGCCUCCUAAACACCUACCCCUUAAUGCCUUGGCACUGGGGCUGCAGGGCCACGAAGGAAUUGGGGGAGGGGCACAGGGAUAUGCAGAAUACAGCAGGUUGGUAUUGAGUUUCCUAGUUAGAGGUCAUGUGAUUUGUUCUAGCACGUACAUAUGUGUUUCUGUAUCCCCAUAUGAAUCACACUAUGAUUGAAAAAAAAUUCAUUUGCUUCUGUUUGUUUUUGGUGAUGCUGGGAAUCGAACCAAGGGCCUAGUACAUGCUAAGCACAUACUGUACCUCUGAGCUACAUCUGCAGCCCCUUGUUUGCUUUUUUUAUUCUUUGGUUUUUUUGAGGGAUCUUCUGUUUGUUUGUUUUGUUUUUUGAAACACGGACUUGUUAUAUAAUUUGAGCUGGCCUUGAACUCCCUACAUAGCCCAGACUGGCCUCCAUCUCUAGGUAAUCCUCCUGCCUCAACCUCCUGUGUGCUGAGAUUACAAGCAUGCACCACAUCACCUCGCUUGUUUGUUUUCAUAAAGGUAUGGUUUACAUUCACUAAAUGUACAAUUCUUUGUGCACAGCUUGAUGAGUUUUUCCCUUUGUAAAUCUUCUAGAACCUCUACCCACAAGGAAACAGAAUAAGUUCAUCAUUCUAAAACAUUUCCGCAUGCCCUACCCAAUCUGUAUGUCCUCAGCUAUAACCCUACUUGACUUUUAUCUACAUAGAAAAGUAAUUUUGUAAUCAUGAUUUCUUUUUAGUGUCA